GCCGCCUCGCCGCAGUGCCCGCAUUAGGGCUUGGUGAUGGUGCGUGGAGGUCGCUGGAGCUCUGGAUCGCGAGGCAGCGCGGAACACUCGAACCCUCCUCCUCCGGGACCGCCUUGCGCGCGCCGUGAUCCAAAGGGAAGAAAUAUGUACCAGAAGUUUUGAAGGGUUAGGAGUUAUGCUGCAAGCGAGAAUUUCGAAUGGAGAAUGCCAUCUUUCACAAACUGGUGGAUUUCCUUCAAGAGAGGAACCAACUGCAAGAGGAGUCUCAAAUAAUGCAAGCAACAGAGAUCUGCAAUGUUGCUUCCAACAUAGCGGAUUAUAUGGGGGCAACAGAGGGAACACAUGUUCCAAUUUCUGUAGCUUCAUGUCUACAAGAUCCUUAUUGAAACAGAAAAGGGAUAUUAUCGGUAUUGCAAAUGUCUUGGUUGCAUGCAAUCGGAGGCAUGCGCAGAUCCGCGACCAUGUUGAAUGUAUUAUAGGUGUUGUGCAGAUGCACUUUCAAAUACUAAAGCGUGCUUUAUAUCAUCCGACUGACUCACAAUCAGAUAUUGUGUUAGCUUGUUGUGCGCUUCAA